UUUCCUCCUGCCCUGUUUCCUUUUAGUAUUUUCUUUGUGAUUGUUUUUGCAAGUUUGUUUUAAAAGUUCACUGCAUGCUUUCUUUUCUUGUAGACCGGGAGACCGUGAUCUCACCCUGACGAUGGAUGCAGAUGAGGACAAAGAGGAGUAAAGAGGAGCCACCUAACAAAGGAAUCCUGACUCCCUGAAUAGCCAUACACACCCAGCAACAACUAUAAAGAGAGGGGGUCCCUGAGCCAGGUGCAUGGGGAAUCGAUACUGACCUGCCUCUUCUCUUCCAGCACCGCUUCUCCAGGGAAAUGGUUUUCCUGCCUGGGAUGGAGAAAAUUUCAUUAAAGGAAACCCAAGAUAGAAAAGGAGGGAAGU
rnacentral:lncRNA from 1 species